rnacentral:lncRNA from 1 species
CCUGACCAUGGGGUCAGGCCCUGUGCCGGAUGGCAGAUGCCUAACAGAGAUCACAUCCCGAUGCCCCCACCACAGGCACCAGCAGCGGGUGUGAUCUGCCAAGCAGGAGAGAAGUGCCCAGCUUCUGUCAAAUGCGUUCGUGACCCGCUGCCAACUGCCCUGGGAGGCGCCGGCGUCUCACUGCAGAGUCAGCCCUGUGGCCCCUCCACGGCCCCCAGGCCCAAGGCCAUACGGGCACUGAUGGCCGUGCCCACAAACCAUUCCAGUCACUGUGGCCCUAGGCCACCCCCCCCACCAGGGGCUCCCUGCACCUCACGAGCUCUGGUGCUGUGAGCCUUCUCUGUGCCAGGGCACGGGGCCUGGCUCACCCCCUCUCCUGCUCCCUGGCACAUCCGCUGUUGGGCAAAACAUGGACCUGCCACUGA